CCUGCUUGCUGUUCUACACCUCUGUGUGGGCUCAGAAUCGGCUUCACUCCAUUCCCACGGGGCAGCGGAGCACAGAGGUUAGAAGAGCCUCGGGGCUGCCUGGCACACAGGCUUCACCAUUUGUGGUCUCAGAAGUGCUCACGGGGAGAGAGUGGCUGGUUUACCAGAGGGCCUCUGGCCCACACUUGGCAAGACAGAUCAUCCCACGGGUGAGCCAGCUGGGUCAGCCUCAGGGCUAAGGACUGGCAGCCCAGGUGUCAGUAGAGGCUGCAUUCCAGCAACAUUCCUCCUUGGCAGAAACUUCAAAACCAGAGGGACAUUACUCAGGCCUUGGGGGUUGGGGCGGGAGACCGAAGGUGGGGAUGUGCCGCUGUGUACAGCCGACUUGCCUGCCCAUCACCCAAACACCAAGUUCCGCUCGCAGAGGAAGUGAGAGGUGUCCGAUUCGGUCUCCCAGAACGCAGCUGGGCUGCCUGAAACGAGCGCCGCGGCGACUCUGAAGGAGGUGUCAUCCCUGGGCCAGUACAGGAUUGAGUCACAGAAGCCGCCACUCCUGCGUCAAAAAUACUGGGCCAUUGUCCCAGGGAGUUUGGCCCCUCAGUCGUCAUUUCCGACCCGCUCCCUGGAAUCCCAAUGAAGGAAAAAGGGGAGGAAAAGAAGCGGAAACCAGAAUGGCUAAGCAAGCCGAGGAAGACGAGCCCCGGCCAGCUGGAGCAGCACCUGAGUGUGCGACCCCACCCCCCACUGGGGCAUCUUCUCCUUGGUUACAUUCCAGACCCGGAAGCGAAUCCCGGCUGUAUGGUGUCCAAAGACCUACAAUCUGGGGGCAUUCCUUAAUAAAAAGAAUC
rnacentral:lncRNA from 1 species